UUUCGAAAUAGUCUCACUUAGUUUCCUGACACAUUUUGGUCUUGAAACUGAGUAGUAGUUUGAGCCUUUAGUUGAUCUUGUACUUUAGACUUUGAAUCCGAUUGAGUCACUGUCCUUUGAGAAUCUGUUGUUACACCUUGGGCACUGUUAUUAGUAGUGGUAGUAGUAGAGGUAUUAGUAGCAGUUUUAGUGGUAGUUGUACCAGUAUUAGCACCAGUAGUAGUGGUAGUAGCAGUGGUAGCACCAGUAUUAGCAGUAGUAGUAGAAGUAUAGCUUGAAUCAAUUUGUGCCAUAUACUCUUCUUUGUAUGUAACCUUUGAAUCUUUGUCUGUGGUUACAAUAGUGACUGUUGCUGUUCUUGUAGUUUCUCCAGUUUUUGUGCCAGUUGUAACAUUCUUUAAUGAUAAAUCACUAACAUAUCCUGAAAUAUCCAUGCAGGCAUUAACAUUAGUAGAUGAAUCGGUAGUGGUAGUUUUAUUAGUUUGAGUAGUGGUAGCUUGACCAGCAGUAGCUUGACCAGCAGUAGCUUGGCCAGUAGCAACUUGGCCGGUAGUAGUUUGACCAGUAGUAGCUUGAAAAGUGGUAGCUUGGCUGGCGGUACUUUGAGAAGCAGUAGUUUGGGAAGCAGUAGAUUGAGAAGUAAUAGUUUGAGAAGUAGUAGUUUGAGAAGUGGUAGCUUGACCGGCAGUAGUUUGAGUAGUGAAAGUAGAAGGAACAGUAGUAGUAGUAGUCAUCCUACUACAAUCUUGGAAAACUUGAUCAACAGUAGUAACUGUUGAUCCAUCAGCUUUAGUGACAAAAGUUUCUGUUCUUGUAGUUACACCAUCUACAUUACCUGAUGCAAAUCUUGUGGUUGUUUUUGUAACAGUUUCACCUGAUUGAGUAUUUGUUGAAACUGUCUGGUCAAAUGUUUCUUCAGUCUUUGAUGUCUGCUUUCCAUCAACAGAAUAAGUUUCUCUUGUAACAGUUCCUUUGUAACUUUUUUCUGUAGUUCCAGUUUGUACAGGAGUAGUACUAGUAGUAGUAACACACUUUGUUCUGUCAGUAUUUGUUUGUUCCUUCUUUGAAGUAUAAGUACCAUCAGUUUGGUAAGUUUCAGUAAUUUUGAUUUGUGUCUUUCCACUCUGAGUUGUUUCAUAUUUUACACCACAUUUACCAUAAGUUGUUUGACUAGGUGUUUGAACUGCUCCAUAGUAAACCUGAGCACCGUUGAAAUCUUGAUCAGCCUGCUGAUUGUUCUGUUCAGUUUGUUUUUGUUUUUGUAAUUGUUUUCUUGCUUGGUCUUGGCCUUGAAUGGAUGUUUCAUAUCCUGCACCUCUCAUUGUUUCCUGGCAUUUUGUCUGUUUACUAUUGACUCCAGAAUAACCAUUAUUUGCCACAGAUGUGUCAGUUGUUUCUUUUGAUACUUCAAUAUCUAUUUGUCUAGAGGUAAUUGAACCAUUGCUAAAUGUUUCAGUCAUUGUUGUAGUAGUUUCAGUUUUUGUUGGUGCUUGAUAAACAAAAGUCAUUGUAUUAUCUGUUGUAUCAAAGUAACAAACCUGACUUGUAACUGCUUCAGACUGAGCAGUUCCUGCUUUACAAGUGGUAGCAGA
rnacentral:antisense_RNA from 1 species